rnacentral:lncRNA from 1 species
GGCGCCUGCGCUAGAUCCUGUUCUCGGCGCCAUUUUGUCUCGGCAGCGGUGGCGGUAGCUCUUUCCCAUUUUAAGCUUCGCGAGGAGAGGAGUGGAGUCUUUACCCGGUUGAUUCGUUCUUGUGGACUAGGCGUUCACCUUCCGUCCCGGGUGAGAGCAUAUUUUAUUGUAAAAAGUGUAGAUUGGGUGAACUUCAGAACCUUUGAAGAUUGUUGCAGAGGGAAAAAGGUUUGCCUUAAGCAAACUACUCAUCUUCAAUUUACUGUCCACCAUUAUCAGGCUAUGAUGAAGUCCUAAUUUAAGUCCUGGAAAGACUCUAAAACUACAACCAGAAUAUAAAGGAAUAUUCCAAGUACUACUGAUAACCGAAACAGCUGUCCAAACUGCUGAAAAGGAAUGGACUCAUUAAACCAGAGUGAAAGGACUAAUAAAACCAACAGGAGAAUGGACAGAUGUAUCCUGAACAUUUGUGGGGGAAAGUUAUCAAAGGCUAUUAGCCCUUAAAUCUGGAUCUAUCUUCAUACUGUUUCUUGGAAUGUUUCUGGGCCAAGAAAGAGGACGGAAGCAAAAGACCUUCUUGACUGCUGAUGCUUUCCCUCAAAGAAAGGACAAAAAUCCAAGGAAACACCCUAAUACAAGGUUCUGCUUUUUUUAG